rnacentral:lncRNA from 1 species
AUGUGAGAGUUUCUAAAAAAUGAUAUCUUAAGAUGUUGAGGAAUUGCACAUGCUUCUUAAAUAGGAACUUUCUUAAUUUUUUUUGCAUAAGAAGUGUUUUUUGUGAAUCUGGUUUCCACUGUGUGUCGUGUUUAGAGAGGAGAGUUACACAGAACGGACAUGUGCGAGCUGCAACUGCUGUACUUUCUUUAUUCCUAUUUGGGGACUUUCUCUCUCUCUCUCAACCUGUAUAGACCAUCCACCACCACCACCACCAUCACAAGUCAAAGACCAGUCUCUAAAUGCCUCCCCUCCUCUCUCUCCACAUCCCUCUGUCUCUCUUCAGACCAUGUCAAAGGACCAGUCUCUAAAUGCCUCCCCUCCUCUCUCUCCGUCUCUCUUCAGACCAUGUCUAAGGACCAGUCUCUAAAUGCCUCCCCUCCUUCUCUCUCUUCACAUCUCUCCGUUUCUCUUCAGACCCAUGUCUAAGGACCAGUCUCUAAAUGCCUCCCCUCCUUCUCUCUCUUCACAUCUCUCCGUCUCUCUUCAGACCAUGUCUAAGGACCAGUGUGACUCUGUAGCAGUGAGCGUCGAGUCCCUCUUAACAGACGCAGUUAAGAUGCAGUCCCAGUGUCGGGAGCGCAGUGAGCAGCUAGCUGUGGCCGCCGCCGCACUGCGGGAGGAGUCGGCGUGCUUGAGAGAACAGGUGAGGUGUCGAUUUGUGGAUGGAUAGAUAUUUAUAUAUUGUAGAAAGAUUGACUGA